CUAGUAUUAGGCAAUCCAAACCACGUGACCUCUGGUUGGCACACAAACUAACAAAGAGGUUAUGUUUGCAUCUAUUUUUCAAUGAUUUUUCAUUGUUUAUCGUCGUAUUUUGGAUUCAUUUGGAUUUCGUUUCCUGUUUUUGUGAACUUUAUAAACUUUACCACAAUGCAAACUGAUUAUUUAAGGAAAUUAUUAUUGGAAACUCCAGAUGUUGCGAGAAAGAUAUUUAUUGAAGCUGAAAAUAAUUGGGGAUUUAGAUCCAUACGCAAUUCAGUCAGAAUUGGAUUUUACAGUAAAGUGCAGUCCAUCAAGUUCCUAUUAUAGAUAUUUAUACAUAUCUGGUGGAAUCUGAUAUGUCACAGUUGCUACUCUAAGCAGCAGAUGAAAGCAUACAAAAGCCUUCAGGCACAUAAAUAUUUUACAGCUGGAUUUGUUUUGAAUGGAGUAAAAAUUGUUAAUGAUUUCCUGAUUUCCAUAUUAUUGUCGGAAAGGUGAAGCAUUUCCAAAAAUCUAAUGCUAAACGACUAAAUGCUUGGGUGGGGUGAUAGCCAGUUCUGAUGACAUAGCAAAUUUACAUUGUAUGCGUAUGGCCGGUAAUAGUGAAGUCUGCAGCCAUAUUGCAGCAAUCCUAUUUUUAGCUUAGUAUGCUCAGGGCAAGACAGACGAAGAAGAACCCAAUGUAUGUACAUAUGUUACAGCUACAUGGUUUGGAGAUAGCAACAUAUGCAUUCUCUGAUGAAAAACUAAUGAGUUUUGAAACUGUUCAGUCAGAGUGCUUGUUGCGCUCACUAAACGAAUUGAAAUAUAAGAUGGCUUUGGCAUUGUGUUGCAGCGAUAUGAAAAUGGUUAUUCAUUUUUAAUUAUAAUGUUCUUCUUCAUCAUGAGUAAUUAUGUAUUGGUCUUUUAAAUGUGUAUUUAUUUUUGUAAUUAGUAUCAACUUGUAAUGAUAAUAUACAUUUAUCGUUUAAGGUAUGACUAUGUUUUGACUCUAAAAUAAAUGUUUUAAAAAUCGAA
rnacentral:lncRNA from 1 species